AGUGAACGCUGGCGGCAGGCCUAACACAUGCAAGUCGAGCGGCAGCGCGGGGCAACCUGGCGGCGAGCGGCGGACGGGUGAGGAAUGCAUCGGAAUCUACCCUGUCGUGGGGGAUAACGUAGGGAAACUUACGCUAAUACCGCAUACGACCGAGAGGUGAAAGUGGGGGACCUUCGGGCCUCACGCGAUUGGAUGAGCCGAUGCCGGAUUAGCUAGUUGGUGGGGUAAAGGCCCACCAAGGCGACGAUCCGUAGCUGGUCUGAGAGGAUGAUCAGCCACAUUGGGACUGAGACACGGCCCAAACUCCUACGGGAGGCAGCAGUGGGGAAUAUUGGACAAUGGGCGCAAGCCUGAUCCAGCCAUGCCGCGUGUGUGAAGAAGGCCU
rnacentral:rRNA from 1 species